rnacentral:rRNA from 1 species
ACGAAGGUGGCAAGCGUUACUCGGAAUUACUAGGCGUAAAGGGCAGGUAGGCGGCUUGGUUAGUCUGUUGUGAAAGCUCCUUGCUUAACGGGGAGAGGCCAACAGAUACUGCCAGGCUUGAGUAUAGGAGAGGGUACUGGAAUUCCCGGUGUAGCGGUGGAAUGCGUAGAUAUCGGGAAGAACACCAGUGGCGAAGGCGUUCUGCUGGGCCGUUGCUGACGCUGAGGCGCGACAGCGUGGGGAGCAAACAGGA